UUUCGGCUGACGAGUUCUAUGUAGAACGAAACGCGCGUCCUGGAU
rfam:Schistosoma curassoni strain Dakar, Senegal genome assembly, scaffold: SCTD_scaffold0001075